AUUUUCGUUUGAAAUUGUAAUGGUGUUUGCACAUACCGCAGUGUAGAACCUCUGGUUCCCAUGAACGUCAUGUAUGACAAAACAACAAUGGUUGUGUUGGGGGUAUUAUCUCUGUACCAUGAAAUCCAACCAUCCAACGGCGUGUCCAGGAAUCUGUGAGCGCCGAAAAGGAAUCAUUAUUUCGACGUGGUCGCCCAACGAUUGAGAAAUCUUUGGAACACAGAUGACGGAAACGUAUUUGUAUAGUGACACGGACAGCCUGCUCAUCUCCUCCGUACGCUGUGAAAGGUUAAGUUUCCUAAUCGUGAUUGAGUCAUCCAUCAUAACAAAAAACACGUGCUAUGACAGCCUGGAAUCUGUGAUGUGUCGGGCGGUUUAUAGAUACCGAGAGAGCUUGGAUACAGGAGCAUGUAAAUCGGAGUUAAAUACAGCUAGCAUCUCUAAUCGGUCACCUAUAUAAAUAAUACUCUCCCCUGAUUUGUCAUUAACUAUAUUAUUUUUAAGGACUUCUGCGGUGAAUAAGAUAUCAAUUAUGACGUCAUUUUAUUACCCGGAAACUUUACAAGGUCAUCUUGGUUUGUCAUUGUUUAUAAGUCUGUAGCUGUUUGUAUUGUUUUGAUAUUAUUGUCCUAGUUGAUUUUACAUUUUAGUCAGUGAUUGGUUCGUUUGUUUUU